rnacentral:tRNA from 1 species
UGGGUUGUGGCUCAGCGGUAGAGCGCUCGCCUAGCACGCCCGAGGCCUUGGGUUCAAUCCUCAGCACCACAU